ensembl:snoRNA SNORD115 Small nucleolar RNA SNORD115
GGGUCAAUGAUGAGAGCUCUCGUUGUCUCAAUGAGAGUGAUGAUGACCAAAAAUCAUGCUCAAUAGGAUUAUGCUGAGACCC